rnacentral:rRNA from 1 species
ACGGAAAGACCCCAUGAACCUUUACUGUAGCUUUACAUUGGACUUUGAACCAAUCUGUGUAGGAUAGGUGGGAGGCUUUGAAGCGGGGACGCCAGUUCUCGUGGAGCCAUCCUUGAAAUACCACCCUGGUUCGUUUGAGGUUCUAACCUUGGCCCGUUAUCCGGGUCGGGGACAGUGUAUGGUAGGCAGUUUGACUGGGGCGGUCUCCUCCUAAAGUGUAACGGAGGAGUUCGAAGGUACGCUAGGUACGGUCGGACAUCGUGCUAAUAGUGCAAUGGCAUAAGCGUGCUUAACUGCGAGACCGACAAGUCGAGCAGGUACGAAAGUAGGACAUAGUGAUCCGGUGGUUCUGUAUGGAAGGGCCAUCGCUCAACGGAUAAAAGGUACUCUGGGGAUAACAGGCUGAUUCCUCCCAAGAGUUCAUAUCGACGGGGGAGUUUGGCACCUCGAUGUCGGCUCAUCACAUCCUGGGGCUGUAGCCGGUCCCAAGGGUAUGGCUGUUCGCCAUUUAAAGUGGUACGUGAGCUGGGUUUAAAACGUCGUGAGACAGUUUGGUCCCUAUCUGCCGUGGGCGUUGGAAAUUUGAAGGGGGCUGCUCCUAGUACGAGAGGACCGGAGUGGACGAACCUCUGGUGUACCGGUUGUCACGCCAGUGGCAUUGCCGGGUAGCUAAGUUCGGAAGAGAUAACCGCUGAAAGCAUCUAAGCGGGAAACUUGCCUUGAGAUGAGAUUUCCCGGAGCCUUGAGCUCCUUGAAGGGUCGUUCGAGACCAGGACGUUGAUAGGCUGGGUGUGGAAGUGCAGUAAUGCAUUAAGCUAACCAGUACUAAUUGCCCGUACGGCUUGUCCCU